rnacentral:rRNA from 2 species
CAGGCCUAACACAUGCAAGUCGAGCGGAUGAAGGGAGCUUGCUCCCUGAUUCAGCGGCGGACGGGUGAGUAAUGCCUAGGAAUCUGCCUGGUAGUGGGGGACAACGUUUCGAAAGGAACGCUAAUACCGCAUACGUCCUACGGGAGAAAGCAGGGGACCUUCGGGCCUUGCGCUAUCAGAUGAGCCUAGGUCGGAUUAGCUAGUUGGUGAGGUAAUGGCUCACCAAGGCUGCGAUCCGUAACUGGUCUGAGAGGAUGAUCAGUCACACUGGAACUGAGACACGGUCCAGACUCCUACGGGAGGCAGCAGUGGGGAAUAUUGGACAAUGGGCGAAAGCCUGAUCCAGCCAUGCCGCGUGUGUGAAGAAGGUCUUCGGAUUGUAAAGCACUUUAAGUUGGGAGGAAGG